GACAGAGGAUGCAAGCGUUAUCCGGAAUGAUUGGGCGUAAAGCGUCUGUAGGUGGCUUUUUAAGUCCGCCGUCAAAUCCCAGGGCUCAACCCUGGACAGGCGGUGGAAACUACCAAGCUGGAGUACGGUAGGGGCAGAGGGAAUUCCUGGUGUAGCGGUGAAAUGCGCAGAUAUCAGGAGGAACACCGAUGGCGAAGGCAGGUCUCUGGGCAUUAACUGACGCUGAGGAGCGAAAGCAUGGGGAGCGAACAGG
rnacentral:rRNA from 1 species